GAUGAACGCUAGCGGCAGGCUUAACACAUGCAAGUCGAGGGGCAGCGAGGCCGUAGCAAUACGGCUGUCGGCGACCGGCGCACGGGUGCGUAACGCGUAUGCAACCUACCCGUAACAGGGGGAUAACACUGAGAAAUUGGUACUAAUACCCCAUAAUAUCUCGGAAGGCAUCUUCUGGGGUUGAAAACUCUGGUGGUUACGGAUGGGCAUGCGUUGUAUUAGCUAGUUGGUAAGGUAACGGCUUACCAAGGCGACGAUACAUAGGGGUUCUGAGAGGAAGGUCCCCCACAUUGGAACUGAGACACGGUCCAA
rnacentral:rRNA from 1 species